rnacentral:lncRNA from 1 species
GUUUUGGUUUUUUUGUUUUUUUGUUUUUUUUUUUUUAUUUCCUAGGGUUGGCUAUUUUAGUUAGGGUUUUACUGCUGUGAAGAGAUACCAUGACCAAGGCAACUCUCAUAAGGACAACAUUUAAUUGGGGCUGGUUUGCAGGUUUAGAGGUUCAGUCCAUUAUCAUCAAGGUGAGAACAUGGCAGAAUCCAGGCAAGCACAGUGCAGGAGGAGCUGAGAGUUCUACAUCUUCAUCUGAAGGUUGCUAGCAGAAUACUCACUUCCAGGCAGCUAAGGACUAAGGUAUUAAAGCCCACACCCACAGUGACCCAUCUACUCCAACAAGGCCACACCUCCUAAUAGUCCCACUCCCUGAUCCAAGCAUAUACAAACUAUCACAAUGGCAAAAUUGGCAUUCUUUUGGGGAGGCUUGACUUACAGCAAGUUACCUAGAUUUUUACCCUGCUCUCUCCACCUACAUCACUAUGAGAUCAUUCUCCCCUUUGGAGUCAAGGAACUAGCCUUGGAGUGAAGUGGCCAUGUGUUGGUGGUCUAAGAAUGUAGGCAUUGUUCCUUAAAGAGGUCUUCUAUGAGAGUGAGCCAGCCCCUUUGGGCUGCAAGCUUUAGCAUGGCACAGUUGUCACCUUACUGUCUGCUUCUAAAUCUGGACAUCAGCCAAAGUUCAACAUUCUAAUUAGAGAAGAGGCAAGGGAGGAGAGAGUUGAAGUUCCAUAAACUUUUAUUUAAACGUCUAGCUAGGAGUGGUGGUGCCAGUGUGGAGGUGGCAAGAUCGAGUGUUAGGGUCAUCCUCAGCUACAUAAUGAGUUUGAGGCUAUCCUAGGCUACAUGAGACUCUGUCUCAAAAAACAAAAGCAAGCAAGCAAGCAAACAAAACCUCCAACUACUAGUUCAUAUACAUUUACCCCAAAUAAGAUUGAGUAGUUAAGUUUCCUUGUGUUUUACUUUGGGCCAAAUUUCUAGCAAGCCAGAAUGUUAGUACUUUGGUUAUCUCCUUUGUGGUCAGUUGAAGACCAUGGGUCUUCUUCUAAGCAAAUUUCUGAGUCUCUGUUCUACAUAUUUGGAUCUGACAAGAAGGACCAUGAGUCUUUGACUGGUCAUAGGAUGAAAAACUGAACUGUUAGGAGCACCUAAGUCCUCUACUGUUAUCAUUAACAAAAUCUUCCCAAAGCCAUGGAAAAGAAUCCACUCCAAGGCUGAGAUGGUGGUGGUAGAAACGCAAGGGAUUGGUAUGUACUACCAUGGGCUCUGUGUGCUGUGCCAUUAGUUAGUGCCAACCACAAUCUUCUCUUACACAGAGGAGAACUCAUGGUAGGAUCACAGCUUGUUAAGCAUCUCAUCAAAAGGAAAAAACCCAAAAACAAAUGUAGAGCUAAAGUCAAUCAGAAGACUAUGAGUGGGCGGGGCUUCUUACUGGGCCCUACCUUUCCUCUUCACCUCUUCUCCUGCUCCUUUGGGCUCAUUUUUCCAGGAAGAGUAAAGGCUUAAAGAGUAAGGGAGGAGAAGAAGGAAGAGCUGGCAAUAGGCAGUAGGCUCUUGGGACAAGGGUGGAAGAGGUAGUAGGAACCGCCAUCUUCCUAGCUCCAGUCCCUCUGACUACCUCUGCUCUGGGUUACCAAGUUCUCCCACCUAAGACCUACCACCUCCACCUCCUUUCUGGGUUCCAGUCCCAUGCCUCAUCACCAACCCCAGCCAUGUGAACUAUAACAAUUGUCAAGAUGUAAAUAUCCGGUUUUUCUGUAUAGUAAAGCACCUAUG